rnacentral:rRNA from 1 species
ACUGAACAAGACAUCUCGUCUCGACCGACGAACUUGGCUGGAAUCUUCGACAAGUACCCCCUCUCGAUCUACAAUGGUCCAACACUGACUACUCGAGGCAUUUGAGCCAAGGAAAGCAUACGUUAUCUCUGGGGAUAAGACCAUCGCCAGCCAUUUCCUAGUAGACUUGGUUGUACUAGAUCCUCGCUGCUCUAGUUUUGCACGUCCUGCUACCACUGGCUACGCAGCACGCACGCAAUCUGCACAGCGUGGAGACAUCUCCCGUCUCUUGCUCGGGAAGGAAGAAUCUCCAGGGUCCAGACUCCAGACCUGUGUGGCGAUGCUGAUGAACCUCAUCUAUUCCACCUGAUUAGCACAGCAAGCCAUCUGUGGCUCCGCGCGGUUUGUUGAGACGGAACCCGUAAAUUCAACUUAUCUCUUCUCUUCUUAAAUACUCGAAGAUCAAAUAGAACGAUUUCAUGCGCAAGGAUGGAAUUGUUAUACUACAUUGAUGGUUGAUUUCUGGAACUGUUUUGCCUGAAAUACUGAGGUCAAACUGCAUAAAGAGAAAUGGCCGAGGCUGCUCUUCUUCUUGUCACGACAAAGAUCGGAAUAGCUGUGGCAGCAGAAAUACUUCAUCACGCUAAGUCUGUUGCAAAACUCUCAGAGAAAAUGACACUGAUAAGGAAUGACCUAGAGCUUAUUCGAGCAUUUCUCAAGGAGAUUGGAAUGAAAGCUCCCACAGAUGGAGUAACCGAAACAUGGAUAGGGCAAGUCCGAAGAUUGGCGUAUGAUAUGGAAGACCUUGUGGAACAAUUUUUGUAUGUUGUUGGCAAACACGAUCAGAAAGGAUCAUGGUGGAGUAGUGUGAAGAAAAUCUUGAAGAAACCCCAGUAUCUGUUUACACUAGGUGAAAUCGCUACUGGCCUUGAGAAAAUAAACCAAGCCCUUACACAUCUUAAACAAAACAGAGACUGGACUCAAGCUGGUGUGGGCGAUCUUUUUGCAACAAAUUAUGACAGCCAACAACAACCAUAUCUUCCUGGACAUGAUUACUCAAUCUCUGAUGAUGAACUUGUGGGAUUUGAUAAAAAUAGAAAAAUGUUGACGGGGUCACUGAAUUUGGAAAAUUGUCCAGAUCUGCAAAUCAUUGCCUUGUGGGGUAUGGGUGGUAUCGGGAAAAGCACUCUUGUUAGUAACGUGUUUAGAAAUGAAGCAUCCAACUUUGAAUGCCGUGUAUGGGUUUCCGUCUCCCAGUCAUAUAAACUAGAGGAUAUUUCGAGAAGAAUUCUGAAAGAAAUCUAUUCUGAAGACAAGAAAGCAUUUGAUGGUGAGAAGCUGACUUGUGCAGAGCUACAAGAUAAAUUGAAGGAAAUCUUGAAGACAAAGCGGUACUUGAUCAUAUUGGAUGAUGUUUGGACAGCUGAAGCUUUUAGAAAAAUUAAAGAGGUUCUCGUCGAUACAAAAAUGGGAAGCAGAAUAAUAAUCACAACAAGAUCUGAUGAAGUAGCUUCACAAGCUGAUGACGGAUACAAGAUCAAAGUUGAGCCUCUUGAGAAGGAGGAUGCAUGGCAUCUGUUUUGCAGGAAGGCAUUUCCGAGAACUGAAAAUCACAUCUGCCCAUUAGCAUUACGGAAGUGUGGUGAAUCCAUAGUGGAGAAGUGUGAUGGUUUACCAUUAGCCCUUGUGGCCAUAGGGAGCAUAUUAUCUCUUAAGGAGCAGAAUGAUACAGAGUGGGGACUAUUUGAAGCACAACUUAUCUCCGAGCUAAACAACAAUUCGAACCUGAAGCAUGUGGUGAAAAUACUGAAUCUAAGCUACAAAUACUUGCCUGAUGAUUUGAAGAGUUGUUUCUUGUAUUGUGCCAUGUUCCCAGAAGACCACAUGAUCCAUAGAAAAAAAUUGAUCAGACUGUGGGUUGCAGAAGGGUUUAUAAAACAAAUUGGAAAUUGUAGUUUAGAAGAUGUUGCUGAAGGUUACCUGAGAGAGCUCGUUCGACGAAGCAUGCUUCAGGUGGUACAGAGAGACACAGUUUUAACAGGAUCAAGUGUCUUCGAAUGCAUGAUCUUGUGCGGGAAUUAGCCAUUUUCCAAUCCAAGAGAGAGAGUUUCGGUACAACUUAUGAUGAUAGUCAUGGGGUGAUGCAGGUGGAGUCAGAUUCUCGUCGCAUGUCGGUGCUCCAAUGCAAAAAUGACACUCAACCAAGCAUAGGUCAAUGCAGGCUUCGUACCUUCAUAGCAUUCAACACUAGUAUGGGAUCCUUUCCAUGGUUUAGAUCAGAAUCGAAGUACCUUGCUGUGUUGGAGCUAUCAGGGUUACCUAUUGAGACCGUUCCAAAUUCAAUUGGGGAGCUAUUCAGCCUUAGGUAUUUGGGCCUCGACAAAACCAAGGUGAAGGUACUCCCGAAAUCUGUUGUGAACCUUCACAACUUAGAAACAUUGAGUCUUCGAGGUGCAGACUGUCUGUAUCUCCCACGAGGGUCUAAAAAGUUGAAGAGCUUGAGGCACAUUAUAAUGGGUAAAUUGCUGGACGGAACUUUCUCGAGUUUCAAAAGUUUUGAAUCUAUGGAGCCUUCUGAGGGAUUGUGGAGUUUCAUGAACUUGCAAACUCUAGGUGCAGUUCGAGCUAGUAAAGCUUUCGUUGCAAAACUAGCAAGUUUAUCUCAGCUGAGGACCCUUAGCAUUACUGGGGUAAGGAGCAUCCACUGUGCACAGUUGUGUGACUCUCUGUCAAAGAUGCACCACCUCUCAUUAUUAGAAAUAAGUGCUAGCAACGAAGAUGAGGUGCUGCAGCUUGAAACUUUAACAUUGUCAAAUCGUCUUAAAAAGCUCACUUUGAUUGGGCGAUUUUCUGAAGGCACUUUGAAGUCUCCAUUUUGCUCAAACAAUGGAGAUGUACUUCACAGGUUUUUUCUCUAUUGGUCCCAGCUCUCGGAGAACCCAGUGCCGUGCCUCUCUGAAUUGUCAAACUUGACCCAAAUACGUCUAAACAAAGCGUAUACUGGACAGGAGAUAAACUUCCAGACAGAGUGGUUCCCAAAUGUGAAGACUCUUUCCUUAUUGAAUUUGCCACAUGUCAACCAAAUAUGCAUACACGAGGGAGCUUUGGUCCGCCUUGAAGAACUUGUGAUCAUAAACCUGGCCGAACUGCAGGACAUACCUGGGCUGGGACAUCUGAAAUCCCUCAAAGAGACGCAGUUUUAUGACAUGCAUCCUGAUUUUGUAAGGAAUCUUGAAGCGGCAAGACUAGAGCAUAUCCCGAUAUCCUACUACAGGACAGUGCGGGAAUUGAACCAUCCUAGCCAAUAUAUUAUGUUUGCACUUUUCAUGCCAUUCAGUGUGUGCUCGAUUACCUGCACCAAAUUCUAGCUUUUUGAGCUGAUGAAAUUCCGUUCUGUUGCAGACCCGGAGAGGCAUGAAUCUUUCUUGUGUGGGUGGGGUUUGCAGUUAUCACUUAUCACCCUCAAUCCGGGAGCUAUGUAUCUCUGUCGAGGAAUGGCGAUUUAUGAGACAACUGUCUCUCUUCUUGCUAUUAUUAUUCUUAUUUCUGCUUAUUAAAACAAGAACUGGUUUCUAAUAACUCAUGGGAAUGAUUUCUAUUGCCUCUAUCCCAUCUUGGAUUUACAUUAUUUAUGUUUAGUGGCGCUGUGCUACUGCUGUAGAUGAUUAUUAUGUAUAUCUUUUACAUAGUACUCCCUCCGUAAACUAAUAUAAGAGCAUUUAGAUAAC